CCCCUAAGCCUCCUUUUCUGCAGACUAAACAACCCCAGUUCCCUCAGCUGCUCCUCCUAAGACUUGCUCUCUAGAUAGACCCUUCACCAGCCUUGCUGCCCCCCUCUGGACGUGGAAUGACUCGGACUGAUCUUUUGCAGUGUUCCUACAUGAGAGUUCAGCACCAACAGUGAUGUAGGAAAUAGCUCGUCUGCUGCAGCUUCUCCCUAUGCACUGAAGUGGGCUCUGGAGGCUGGAUUUCUCUUCAGCCAGUAGAAGGCUUAUGCUGUUUCUCAGCAUGCCUCUCCCUCAAAAUUGUGCACACAAAACCAGAACCUUGGAAAUUCUCAGAGAUUGUUUCCUUUAGUAAGGAAGGAGAGGGCAGCUCAGGAUUCAAGCACUAGCCAAACUAACCUUACAGUGCAAGGAUUUCUUAUUGAAAUAAAAGCUUUUAAAAAUAUGCACAAUGAGGGUUCCAAGGAGAAAAUAAUUUCACAAUAGCACAUGGAUUAGAGAAAAAUCUUUAUAUGUGAAGUCACAAAAUGUUUCUUAGGCAUGGGAGGAGAGGUUAGGAUUGCUGUCUCUACCACAGUGUGCCCCAUGACCUAGUGAGCUCCUCAGCCCUCAGUCAGACUGAGCCCCAUCACUGCUGUUCACUUGGCACCUGACACAGGAGUUGCUUCCUGGUUAUUUAGAAAUGACAGAGAUGAAAAUCAAGUGGCCUGGCACCAGUCUGCACCUGAGAACUACUCCCAGAGACUGUAUUCUGGUUCCACACUGAAGGCCCUAUCUGGUUAUUUUAGGAGCAGGCUUGAUAAGGAAGAUGAUAGCAGAUGGCAUAUGAGAACAGACUGCAUCAGGCACUGCACACCGCAGCACAACACUCUACUACAGAUCUCCUUUCCCAGUGUGGUGUAAAAGAGAAGAAAAUAAACAGUUCUGAAGGAGAGUUCUGAAGCAAAAGAAAUAUCCUACAUGUGCUGUGAUUGCUACAAACCAUGACAGUUGGGGGUGAUACCUGAUGUGAGCGGCCAGAAAGGUGAGCUGGUUAGAAGGGGAAAAUUACUGAACAGAAGAAACUGCCUGCUGAAGAAUACUGACAAGGAAAAUGUCUGCCAGCCUGGGAACUGUGAGGCUGGGAUCAAGAAACAUCCUUGAAAAGUGCAGCUGGUCUCUUUGAAGUACAGCUGUGGUACCUAGAAAUCAGAGGCAUCCUGAGAUACCACCAAUAAGUGCAAAAUCAAGUGACUGUAAAGACAGUUUAUUGUCUGAAAAGGUAGAAAACAGUCUGGAAAA